rnacentral:rRNA from 1 species
GACGAACGCUGGCGGCGUGCUUAACACAUGCAAGUCGAACGGAAAGGCCCUGCUUUUGUGGGGUGCUCGAGUGGCGAACGGGUGAGUAACACGUGAGUAACCUGCCCUUGACUUUGGGAUAACUUCAGGAAACUGGGGCUAAUACCGGAUAGGAGCUCCUGCUGCAUGGUGGGGGUCGGAAAGUUUCGGCGGUUGGGGAUGGACUCGCGGCUUAUCAGCUUGUUGGUGGGGUAGUGGCUUACCAAGGCUUUGACGGGUAGCCGGCCUGAGAGGGUGACCGGCCACAUUGGGACUGAGAUACGGCCCAGACUCCUACGGGAGGCAGCAGUGGGGAAUAUUGCACAAUGGGCGGAAGCCUGAUGCAGCAACGCCGCGUGCGGGAUGACGGCCUUCGGGUUGUAAACCGCUUUCGCCUGUGACGAAGCGUGAGUGGCGGUAAUGGGUAAAGAAGCACCGGCUAACUACGUG